GGGUUGUGAGGUUAAGCGACUAAGCGUACACGGUGGAUGCCCUGGCAGUCAGAGGCGAUGAAGGGCGUGCUAAUCUGCGAUAAGCGCCGGUAAGGUGAUAUGAACCGUUAUAACCGGCGAUACCCGAAUGGGGAAACCCAGUGUGAUUCGUCACACUAUCAUUAACUGAAUCCAUAGGUUAAUGAGGCGAACCGGGGGAACUGAAACAUCUAAGUACCCCGAGGAAAAGAAAUCAACCGAGAUUCCCCCAGUAGCGGCGAGCGAACGGGGAGGAGCCCAGAGCCUGAAUCAGCAUGUGUGUUAGUGGAAGCGUCUGGAAAGGUGCGCGAUACAGGGUGACAGCCCCGUACACAAAAGCGCAUGUGCUGUGAGCUCGAUGAGUAGGGCGGGACACGUGGUAUCCUGUCUGAAUAUGGGGGGACCAUCCUCCAAGGCUAAAUACUCCUGACUGACCGAUAGUGAACCAGUACCGUGAGGGAAAGGCGAAAAGAACCCCGGCGAGGGGAGUGAAAAAGAACCUGAAACCGUGUACGUACAAGCAGUGGGAGCACCCUUCGGGGUGUGACUGCGUACCUUUUGUAUAAUGGGUCAGCGACUUAUAUUCUGUAGCAAGGUUAACCGUAUAGGGGAGCCGGAGGGAAACCGAGUCUUAACCGGGCGUUAAGUUGCAGGGUAUAGACCCGAAACCCGGUGAUCUAGCCAUGGGCAGGUUGAAGGUUGGGUAACACUAACUGGAGGACCGAACCGACUAAUGUUGAAAAAUUAGCGGAUGACCUGUGGCUGGGGGUGAAAGGCCAAUCAAACCGGGAGAUAGCUGGUUCUCCCCGAAAGCUAUUUAGGUAGCGCCUCGUGAAUUCAUCUCCGGGGGUAGAGCACUGUUUCGGCUAGGGGGCCAUCCCGGCUUACCAACCCGAUGCAAACUGCGAAUACCGGAGAAUGUUAUCACGGGAGACACACGGCGGGUGCUAACGUCCGUCGUGAAGAGGGAAACAACCCAGACCGCCAGCUAAGGUCCCAAAGUCAUGGUUAAGUGGGAAACGAUGUGGGAAGGCCCAGACAGCCAGGAUGUUGGCUUAGAAGCAGCCAUCAUUUAAAGAAAGCGUAAUAGCUCACUGGUCGAGUCGGCCUGCGCGGAAGAUGUAACGGGGCUAAACCAUGCACCGAAGCUGCGGCAGCGAACGUAUCACCCAAGACAACUUUACGGAGUUGACGAUUGACGGAGCGAAGCGACGUCAAAGCGUUCAUUAAAGUCGAGUUGGCUUAGGGAUACGUUCGUUGGGUAGGGGAGCGUUCUGUAAGCCUGUGAAGGUGUGUCGUGAGGCAUGCUGGAGGUAUCAGAAGUGCGAAUGCUGACAUAAGUAACGAUAAAGCGGGUGAAAAGCCCGCUCGCCGGAAGACCAAGGGUUCCUGUCCAACGUUAAUCGGGGCAGGGUGAGUCGACCCCUAAGGCGAGGCCGAAAGGCGUAGUCGAUGGGAAACGGGUUAAUAUUCCCGUACUUGGUGUUACUGCGAAGGGGGGACGGAGAAGGCUAUGUUGGCCGGGCGACGGUUGUCCCGGUUUAAGCGUGUAGGUGUGUGUUCCAGGUAAAUCCGGUUCACUUUAACACUGAGGCGUGACGACGAGGCACUACGGUGCUGAAGCAACAAAUGCCCUGCUUCCAGGAAAAGCCUCUAAGCAUCAGGUAACACGAAAUCGUACCCCAAACCGACACAGGUGGUCAGGUAGAGAAUACCAAGGCGCUUGAGAGAACUCGGGUGAAGGAACUAGGCAAAAUGGUGCCGUAACUUCGGGAGAAGGCACGCUGACACGUAGGUGAAGUGAUUUACUCAUGGAGCUGAAGUCAGUCGAAGAUACCAGCUGGCUGCAACUGUUUAUUAAAAACACAGCACUGUGCAAACACGAAAGUGGACGUAUACGGUGUGACGCCUGCCCGGUGCCGGAAGGUUAAUUGAUGGGGUCAGCGUAAGCGAAGCUCCUGAUCGAAGCCCCGGUAAACGGCGGCCGUAACUAUAACGGUCCUAAGGUAGCGAAAUUCCUUGUCGGGUAAGUUCCGACCUGCACGAAUGGCGUAAUGAUGGCCAGGCUGUCUCCACCCGAGACUCAGUGAAAUUGAACUCGCUGUGAAGAUGCAGUGUACCCGCGGCAAGACGGAAAGACCCCGUGAACCUUUACUAUAGCUUGACACUGAACAUUGAGCCUUGAUGUGUAGGAUAGGUGGGAGGCUUUGAAGUGUGGACGCCAGUCUGCAUGGAGCCGACCUUGAAAUACCACCCUUUAAUGUUUGAUGUUCUAACGUGGACCCGUAAUCCGGGUUGCGGACAGUGUCUGGUGGGUAGUUUGACUGGGGCGGUCUCCUCCUAAAGAGUAACGGAGGAGCACGAAGGUUGGCUAAUCCUGGUCGGACAUCAGGAGGUUAGUGCAAUGGCAUAAGCCAGCUUGACUGCGAGCGUGACGGCGCGAGCAGGUGCGAAAGCAGGUCAUAGUGAUCCGGUGGUUCUGAAUGGAAGGGCCAUCGCUCAACGGAUAAAAGGUACUCCGGGGAUAACAGGCUGAUACCGCCCAAGAGUUCAUAUCGACGGCGGUGUUUGGCACCUCGAUGUCGGCUCAUCACAUCCUGGGGCUGAAGUAGGUCCCAAGGGUAUGGCUGUUCGCCAUUUAAAGUGGUACGCGAGCUGGGUUUAGAACGUCGUGAGACAGUUCGGUCCCUAUCUGCCGUGGGCGCUGGAGAACUGAGGGGGGCUGCUCCUAGUACGAGAGGACCGGAGUGGACGCAUCACUGGUGUUCGGGUUGUCAUGCCAAUGGCACUGCCCGGUAGCUAAAUGCGGAAGAGAUAAGUGCUGAAAGCAUCUAAGCACGAAACUUGCCCCGAGAUGAGUUCUCCCUGAGACUUAGAGUCUCCUGAAGGAACGUUGAAGACGACGACGUUGAUAGGCCGGGUGUGUAAGCGCAGCGAUGCGUUGAGCUAACCGGUACUAAUGAACCGUGAGGCUUAACCUUACAACGCCGAAG
rnacentral:rRNA from 3 species